UAGGCUGCAACUCGCCUACAUGAAGCUGGAAUUGCUAGUAAUCACAGGUCAGCAUACUGUGGUGAAUACGUUCCCGGGCCUUGUACACACCGCCGUCACACCAUGAGAGUUGAGAAUACCCGAAGUCCAUGUCAAAGUGGCCGAAGGUAGGCUUGAUGAUUGGGGUGAAGUCGUAACAAGGUAGC
rnacentral:rRNA from 1 species